rnacentral:rRNA from 1 species
UUGGUGACCAGCGGAGGGAUCAUUACCGAGUUUACAACUCCCAAACCCAAUGUGAACGUUACCAAACUGUUGCCUCGGCGGGAUCUCUGCCCCGGGUGCGUCGCAGCCCCGGACCAAGGCGCCCGCCGGAGGACCAACCAAAACUCUUAUUGUAUACCCCCUCGCGGGUUUUUUUUAUAAUCUGAGCCUUCUCGGCGCCUCUCGUAGGCGUUUCGAAAAUGAAUCAAAACUUUCAACAACGGAUCUCUUGGUUCUGGCAUCGAUGAAGAACGCAGCGAAAUGCGAUAAGUAAUGUGAAUUGCAGAAUUCAGUGAAUCAUCGAAUCUUUGAACGCACAUUGCGCCCGCCAGUAUUCUGGCGGGCAUGCCUGUCCGAGCGUCAUUUCAACCCUCGAACCCCUCCGGGGGGUCGGCGUUGGGGAUCGGCCCUGCCUUGGCGGUGGCCGUCUCCGAAAUACAGUGGCGGUCUCGCCGCAGCCUCUCCUGCGCAGUAGUUUGCACACUCGCAUCGGGAGCGCGGCGCGUCCACAGCCGUUAAACACCCAACUUCUGAAAUGUUGACCUCGGAUCAGGUAGGAAUACCCGCUGAACUUAAGCAUAUCAAUAAAGC